rnacentral:lncRNA from 10 species
AGUGGCACCUAGAAAGCCAGCGAGACAGAACCGUUCACUCUUCCGGAAAGGGGGCUGAAACCAGGGAGCCGAGUGGUAUUGCUCAGCGGAUCUCACUCCCAUGAAGCCCAACAAGCUAAGAUCCACUGGCUUGAAACUCUCACUGCCAGCACAGCAGUCUGAAGUCAACCUGAUCCAAGGCUGAAUUCUGCAGUUUUUGGCUUCAUUCCAACUUGAAUUUAUAUAGAAUAUUUUCAAUCUGUGGUUGGUUGAAUCCA